rnacentral:lncRNA from 1 species
UUUUUGUAACUAUGGAGUCUAGAUAGUAUCUAUAAUUAACAAUUGGUCUGUGUGUGUCCAUCUGGAAACAGGUGCAAAAGCUGGGUGGCCUUUGUUAGGUGCCUUCUCUGCGUGCUCGCCUCUGCAGUUUGGUCUAGUGUCUUGCUGUUCUUUAUACAAGCAAGUGUCUCUGUCAGGAGGCAGGAACACGAGGCCAAAUUACCCUCUGAAAACUUUUUUUGCCCAUUACAUUUUCAGAAUUAGUUUGAGAAAGUGCCUGCUGCUCUGGGAAUUAUCAGAGUUUUUAACCUUUGCUGGUUUGUCAAAACAUGACAUUUCACUCCUUCCAUCCCCACAGCUUUUAUCACACAGCACAGAGCACUUCCCACCCUCUUUGUGGGGUGUUUGUAUCUGAAUUGCUAGCUCGGGCUCCUUGCACUUUUCAUUAUUCCUUUAGUUUUUAUGUUUUUUUUUUCUUUUCUUUUUUUUUUUUUUCCUGUCAAACUCAUGCAUACACAUCAUUUUAAGAGCCGGAUCCUUCUACAAGAUUGUCAGGGAAGCGUCAGCCCUCCCCCCUCCCAGCUCCACCCGAAUAUUAUAAUAUGCUGCCUUACCUGUAACUGCCUUAACUGAUUCUCUCCACAUUUACAUCCUAAUGCUAAGUAACAGGCUUGGUUUUCUGCUCCUUGAUUUUCUUUCUUUGUGUGUGUGUGAUUUUUUUCUUUUUUCUUUUUUUAAGCUUAGGCAUCAUUUUGAUUGCUCUAUUGUUGAAGACAAGCAUUUAGCUUUUUUUUCAUAUGCCCCUGUCUUCACCCUGCACACACAACCCUGUACUAUCCUCCCGAUAGAUUAUUUUGAAAUGCUUGCUUGCUUUAUCAAUACUUGAGAGGUUGGGAUGUUCUUAUACAGGACCAGGGUUUGGUUCCCAGCACCCAUGGUGGGUGGCUUAUAAUCACUUUUUCCCUAGAGCUAUAUGAGAUCUGAUGGUCCUUUCUAGCACUGGUUGUAUCUUCAUGCAUGCAUAUGUGUGCACAUGUAUCUGCAUGCACACAUACACACUGAUACCUCUUCCCCCUCAUACACAUGAGCAUGCCCAUGUGAGCACAUACACAUGCACACACACAUGAAAAUAUUAAACUAACUCUUAAA